UACGGAGGGUGCGAGCGUUGUCCGGAAUCACUGGGCGUAAAGGGCGCGUAGGCGGCCUGAUAAGUAGGGGGGUGAAAUCCUGCGGCUUAACCGCAGGGCUGCCUUCUAAACUGUCAGGCUGGAGCACGGUAGAGGCAGGUGGAAUUCCCGGUGUAGCGGUGGAAUGCGUAGAGAUCGGGAAGAACAUCAGUGGCGAAGGCGGCCUGCUGGGCUGUUGCUGACGGCUGAGGCGCGACAGCGUGGGGAGCAAACAGGG
rnacentral:rRNA from 1 species